rnacentral:ncRNA from 1 species
CGGGUAAUGGUUCCUGUAGCAGGAUGAAAAGGGAAUUUGGUGAAGUUCACUUGACUAUUCCAAAGCUGCCCCAGCAACUGUAUGCGGUAGUGAUCGUCUGCCAAUUGCCGGAUGACCGGAAAGGAAGAUGUGUUGCCAGAAUCCGCAAGCCAGAAUACCUGCCAUUGCAAUA